ensembl:lncRNA
UCGUGUCCUAGUGAGGACGGUUGGUCCACUGGUCCAGACUCUUCAGCCGUGGGGCGUUCACCGACCGGUUUUAAAAUCAGAGAACCAAGCGUCAACAUCUCCUCAGCUUGUGUUAAACACAGAAAUUAUUUGUAUCCAAAAAUAACACCUUUAGAAAGAUAAAAUAAUCUGGAAGUGUAAAAAAGUGCCGACUCAUGACGGGUUUUUAGGACUCGUUCCUCCAGCUGUCUAUUGUAAAAAGACUGAGGACGACGUCCGCGCUCGGCUUCUUGAGUUUAACGGCCUUUCGUCUGGCCUCAAGUUGGCGGCUUGUCAGGCCUGAAGGUUUCAGGCAAAACCGCGUUGUGUGUGCGUGUGUCUGUGUGCGUGUNCGGAGAAGGAAACCGCUGCACCAGCAGCUCGGGCUGAUUAUGGUUAUCAGCCUCGGACCUCUCACGAAGACUUAAAGUUAAAAAAGCCGCCUGUUGACAUCACGGCUGUUAAAACUCUCCCGACUGUUUUUCAGAGAAGACCCCCACCCCCCCUUUAUCCUCCCCCCUUUAUCCUCCCCCCGUCUGCACCAACAGAUUCCCUGCAGAGUUUAGCUUCACUCAAUGAUCGAUCCCCCCAAACACGUUUCUUUACAUUCUCCAAAGCCCCCCGCGGCCCCCCGGCCCCCCAACCAGAGGAGUGCGUUUACAGGAAUAGUUUGGCAGCUCUUGGGCUCCUCGGCGCUCUGCGGCCGCUUCAAUUCCUUUUUUGGGCCGUGUUUAGCGCACGUCUGCGCCGCCGGAGAGGAAACACACUCCAUUCCCCCGCCGACAACACACACACACACACACACACACACACACACACACACACACACACACACACACACACACACACACAGAGCGUGAAACUCCUCGAAAGGCCUUCGCUGCAUUUGUUUCUGGUGCUUUUGGCGUUUGACAUUCAGUGUGGAGGGGGGGGGGGGGGGGUAGAGGGGGAGGGGGGGAUAACGAGUUUCUUAUACUUGUUGACUAAUGAACACAUUUAUUUCACUUUACUAAAUGACUUUUAAAGUCCUUGUAAAACCUUUUGUUGAUGCAUGAAGCAGCGAUCUAAUCACGGAGUCGUGUUAACGGUUCAACGUGCUCUUUGAGGACGCCAGCUUGUAUAAUUUGCAGCUGCAUGAGCAACUUUAUGGCCUACGUAAGGAUUUACAUCGAGCGAAGGUCACCCCCCCCCCCCCCCCCCUUCCCUCCCUCCCCCCAUCGCCCAAACCGCUCGACGAGGCCGCCAGGAGGCCCACGUAAGUGCCGCCUGCUCUUGCGAGGAAUCGGACGGCCGUCUCUCGUCUCCGUGUCCCCAGCCAGAGGGGAUGUUUUCCUCCGUUGCCACGACGACGGCGCCGUGUUUAGCUGCUGCGGCCGCAGAGCCUCGGUAACGCCAGUGAGCUACUUUCUUUGGGCUGGAUCCCGUCCGUAAACUCUUUUCGUGUGGGGGGGGGGGCGCAGUAACUGGUCUCCACCAGCAGCAUCUUGCUCCAAUAAACGGACACCCAAACAUCUCAGGUGGCCGCGUUUACUCUGUGCUCCAACAACAACAACAACAACAACAGCAACAGGGGCCCGCGGCGAGAAACCCGGCUGGCGCUGAUGACAGGAAGCGGGCCAGCGAGGGGGGGGGGGGGGGGGGGGGCCCGGGAGAUACCUGAGUGUACACGGCCAGUAAUGAGGGGUUUCCUUCUGUAAACAACAACAAGGGGGGACUGAGGAGGCGCCUGUUCGCUCUGUAAACAGAAAAGGUGAGAUUGCAUGCUUCACCCCGGUGUGUGUGUGUGUGCGUGUGUGCGUGUCGUCGCCUAGCAACGGGUCGACCUUGCCAUUUGUCAAUAAUAUGAACUCCAGAUAGUCGAACUGAGCUCCGGUAUCACACCCACAACACAAACACAAAGCCAACGUGUGCAUUCCUUGUUUUUGUUUUCUUUCACUGCUGCCGCGCACACGCACACGCACACGCACAGAGCGCAGCGUCAUCGCUUUGGUGCGUCAACAGCAACCUGUGUGAUGCCCCCGAGCGGGAGGAGAGCGCCGCGGGACGGAUGUCUGAGGGACUCCAGCGGCAGACUCACAACCCGACUGACUGUUUUCUGACUGACGCGUCAGCGACUGACUGGAAGUGUGUCACAGUUUCAUCACGUUCUACAGACUUUAUCUGCGUCUGAAUUAAAGUGAGCUGCUGUGAAAGUCGACUUGAUUCCAAAGGAAGAAAACACACACACACACAGACACACACUCACAGACACACAGACACACAACUCUCCUGACUCCCUCGACUCCCACAAGAUUCUCCAACUUUCCGAGAACAUUUCAACAUAACGACACGACCAAAUCUUUUAAUCCCCCCCAGCCU